CCAGUGGCGAAGGCGGCUGUCUGGUCUGUACUGACGCUGAGGAGCGGGAGCAUGGGUAGCGAACAGGAUUAGAUACCCUGGUAGACGUGCCGUAAACGAUGAAUGCUAAGUGUUGGAGGGUUUCCGCCCUUCAGUGCUGCAGCUAACGCAUUAAGAAGUCCGCCUGGGGAGUACGACCGCAAGGUUGAAACUCAAAGGAAUUGACGGGGGCCCGCACAAGCGGUGGAGCAUGUGGUUUAAUUCGAAGCUACGCGAAGAACCUUACCAGGUCUUGACAUCUUCUGCCAAUCUAAGAGAUUAGACGUUCCCUUCGGGGACAGAAUGACAGGUGGUGCAUGGUUGUCGUCAGCUCGUGUCGUGAGAUGUUGGGUUAAGUCCCGCAACGAGCGCAACCCUUAUUAUYAGUUGCCAGCAUUAAGUUGGGCACUCUAGUGAGACUGCCGGUGACAAACCGGAGGAAGGUGGGGACGACGUCAAAUCAUCAUGCCCCUUAUGACUUGGGCUAA
rnacentral:rRNA from 1 species